rnacentral:rRNA from 1 species
GACGAACGCUGGCGGCGCGCCUAACACAUGCAAGUCGAACGGAGCUGAGAGAAGCUUGCUUUUCUUAGCUUAGUGGCGAACGGGUGAGUAACGCGUGAGUAACCUGCCCUGGAGUGGGGGACAACAGUUGGAAACGACUGCUAAUACCGCAUAAGCCCACGAUCCGGCAUCGGAUUGAGGGAAAAGGAUUUAUUCGCUUCAGGAUGGACUCGCGUCCAAUUAGCUAGUUGGUGAGGUAACGGCCCACCAAGGCGACGAUUGGUAGCCGGACUGAGAGGUUGAACGGCCACAUUGGGACUGAGACACGGCCCAGACUCCUACGGGAGGCAGCAGUGGGGGAUAUUGCACAAUGGGGGAAACCCUGAUGCAGCGACGCCGCGUGGAUGAAGAAGGUUUUCGGAUUGUAAACUCCUGUCGUUAGGGACGAUAAUGACGGUACCUAACAAGAAAGCACCGGCUAACUACGUG